AACAACAUGCUUAGUAGAAGAAUCAGGAUUUAGCUAGGACUUACAUAUUCCUAUAUAAUCUAUUUCGGAUCUUAAAGGCUUGCAUAUUUGUAGGGAGGACAAACUGAAGAAAAUAUUCUUUUUUCAAAUUACCCUGAGACCAUAAAGCACAGUUACCUAAAGAGUUCAGCAGUUAGGAAAACGCAGCCAAAUGAGAUCUCCAGCUGGAAGAGACACUUGGUUGAGUCAGGGAUAAAAUGACCUCUAAAUUAUCUAUCACCUCCGGCAGGAUGAAGUCAUGUGUCGUCUGGUCAGGCCUUCCUGGGAUGCUAGGCAGGAUGAGUGCCUGGGAAAAUAGAACCCUUUUAAACUCAAACUCCCUAUUAGUACCCCGACUGAACCUAUAAGAUGAAUUUGAUUCCCAUGGCUCUACAAUAGGUCCAUUAUGUGCUAGGCCAGGCCCUAUGGUUAUUAAGGCAGAUUUGGCUGGGUUUGUACAUGUUUAGGGCCAGUUCUAACCUGGUUCCAGGCCUGCUUAGGCUGGGUUCUGAUGCUAUCCCUACUUCUCCCUGUAGAUCCCUUCAUGAGGGUGUGAGUUGGAGACCUGAGCAUGCAGACCAGGCUUUCCCCAGUGCUUGCCGCCCUGGGCGUGGCCCUACUCCUAUCUUCCAUUGAGGCAGAAGACUUUCAGGUCCUGCUCCUGUAUUCUGCUUGACCCAUUCUGUGCAGUGCUGUGUCUUUGCGCUUGUCUCUGCAGUGUGCUGUCCACACUGCCACUUACACUGCUGCCUUCCGAGAGGACAAGACCCAGGAGAGGGCAACUGCUGCAUCCAGCUCUACCAAGAGGACCCCUGUGGAUGGGGUACCAGGAGUAUGGACAUCGUUGCUCAGCUGCUGACCACCUGGGUCGGGACUGUGACCUUGGUGAUAACAGGAAAUAAAAGACUCCAACAAUG